ensembl:processed_transcript
AAGAGAUUCUUGGGAGAUCAACAUGCUAUGAACUGUUGGCAACUGGAAAGAGCUUUCUAAAGAGAAGGUCUGUGGAGCAAAGAAUAAGUAUUCUUCAAAGCUAGAAGGAUUCCUUCUGUCUUCGAAGAGUGAGAGAGGAAAUGACUGAUGAUAUUUCUUGUGGCAUGUGAGCAUGCAGCUCACGUAUGCUUUUUCUUAGGCUGUUGCUGAAGAAAUCCAUCUUACCCAUCCAAGUGGUCCACACAGGAUAAAGUUUGAUUAAAAUGCCUGGAGAACGCAUGACGAAAACAACCUACAAGUUAACUGAGAUCAAAAACCAGAAGGCAGAUUUACUUAAACACAACUUACCUUGUAAUGUGGUUCCUUGUUUUAAAAGCUAGCAUCCAUAUCCAAGGCAGCGUUCUUACAGUGUUCUCUAGUCAUACAGUAGCGUCAGAAACUCGGUAUGUUGAUAAAACUAUAUCCAAGCAACACCAGGAGAUGGGACAAAGAGCUGGGGAAAGUUGGCUGCCUGCCUUUCUGUUUCUGGGUGACAUUCAAGAGCACAGUUGAAGGUUUUUGUUGUUAUUCCAAGUUUCAUGUCUAAUGAAGGGUCAACUUCUAAGCCUAUCAUAUCUGCAUUAUAUGAAGACAUUGCAGAAAAGUUCUUGUAGGUAGAAGCUAAGGAUUAAAGGUAAAGAAAUCUAUUAAUACAACAGGCCACUCGAUGCGUAUUCUCCAAAUAUGGAGUCAGAAACACUCAUUCUCCUGAUCAAAAUGGUGAAGUAAUGGUUCCUCCAUACACAAAGGCAGGAAUUUAACUGUGAAAGCAUAUAGAAUUACUUCAUAGUUUAAUGCAAUGCCCCCUUCAUAUUUCUUGGGGGAGAAUAGGCAAUAUCUAUACCCAUGUUGGUUAGAAGCUACAUAUGUGGCAAAAGAUACUGCACUUGCUGAUUUUCCUUACUGUAAUGGAAUUAUGUCUCAAGAGUACCUUUUCUGGGGCUGUGUGAAGUGUGUACCAAGAUGGAAGGUUAGAAGCAAUCUCCAUGUAAUGUUAGGACUGUGAGAAGUCAGAUGUAAAAGGGAACUUAUACAAAGAGAGAAAACUGAGAAGGGCACGAGAAAGCACAAAGGACUCUAGAGACAGCGGAAACGCUUGGAGAAACACAAAGACUGAGCAGCAAAAAAUGAAGAGCCAGUCUACCAGGAUCCCCAGUGGGAGAAAGCGAGCCAAAGACUCUUCCACAAUGUAAGCCAGCCAACCAAAGGACUGGUGAGAUGGCUCACUGAGUAAAGAUGCUUGCUGCCAAGACUGACAACCUGUAUUUCACACUUAAGUCCCACACUGGAGAGAACCAACUCUCUUAAGGUUCCUUCUGACCUUCACAUGCACACUGUAUGGCAUGAGGGAAACACAUACACACACACACACACCCUACACACACACACAUAUACACACAUACACACACACACACACGUAUGUGUCUCUUCAUCUAUAUAUGAAGAGAGCCAGUCCUACACACGGAGUACAUUUUCAGUUCUCACAAGUUCUAAAUCCUGGGGAUUUGGUGUGACAGAGUUGUGUAUGCCACAACUCAGCUCUGGAAAAGUCCACGGUGGCACUCUCUCCACUCUGGAGCCAUUCCCAAAUCAUCAUGACAGGGAGUGUAUUGCUUAUGACUGAGCUAGUGAGCAGGCAUGAGAACAUUGGGGUGACUUGAUGAAACAAGAACUUCAUAUGGAAAUAAUUAGAAAGUUCAAGUAGUAGGAGGCUCAGACUACCAAAGCUGGUGACCCUAUUCUUUUUGGUCAGAAAUAGGUAAUUCCAAGAAGAUUGAUAGCCCCAACCCAGAAGUCAACAAGGCUUUGGAACUGCGUAGCUUCCUCUUUACCAUGAAGUUUUCGGGCCCAGUGAACACCACUGCACACUCCUUUAUCCUGUAGCACGAUUAGUACUGAGCAAGAUUGGGAAGCACUGGUGUGGUCCUUUAGCAACAGACUUCAGUGCUCCAUUGGCCUCUCCCACAGGAGAUACCCCUUGACCUAAUCAUUAUCAAUCCAAAGAUGUACAAGCUAGGAAGUCUGAGUGGGAACCAGCCUGGCCCACAGGCUGCAAAGCUAACCGUUCUCAGAAGCAGCUCCAGGUACACAAAGAAAUGAUUUAAACCUUUGAGCAGUUUAUCCUUGACCACACUAGGCACAGUACCAGUUCAACAGAAUAAAACUUCAUUAGUUUUAU